UUUCCAAUUAUGAAAGAUUUUAAAAACAAAAAGAAAACGUCCAUCAACAGAACCAAGAAACGUAGCAAAAGCAGCGACGCAGCAGCGCCAGCAGCAGAACAAAUAAGAGUGGGCGAGAACACGAAGAAGAAAACUACGUAAAAUAUUAUUCAAAUGAAUUUUAAUUGAGAUCAACUAAAGUGUAAAAGAAAGAGUAAGAAAAACAACAGUUAAAACUGUGGAAAUUGUAAACGGCACCCGAUUGCCCGUUGUCAUGCAUUUUGCUACACAGCAGCGCCAGCAGCCACAACAACAACAAGAACCACAGUCAACCUCAUCAGCAAUAGCAGCAUCGUCGGCAUCGACAUCGACAUCGACGUCAGCGGCAACGUCACGUUUUGUCGCUCUUUGCAAAUCUUCCAGUCAAGGUGCAUUGCCAAAAUCCUUGGCCACUGCUCAAAGCCACACUCGUCAGCAGCAGCAGCAACAACAACAACAACAAAAACACAAACGCACUGCCAGCUUGAACUCGGCGCCCAUGAUUAAAGAUAUUGAUAUUGAAACAAAUAAAUCGCCGCCUGCUCAUGCUAGCAACAUGUUAGCUGAUAGUCAACCACAGAAUCAGCAACAAGAACAACAAACCCCACAGCAACAUCAGGAACAGCAGCAGCAACAACAACAACAACAACAACAACAACAGCAGCUUGAUAUCCAACAAUUGAAUCCGCAACUGGAACAAAAUGAAACUGAGCUAAAUGAUUAUGACACCGGCGGUGGGGCAGUCGGUGGUGUUGUUGGUGAUAACAAUAAUGAUGGUGGUCAAGAUGAUGCUAGUAAUGCUGCUGAUGCCGCUGACAGGCGCGAAUCCAUCACCGAGGAGAUAACCAUUACAACUACAACAACUAACAACACAUUAGGAACCAAAUUAUUAACCAUACAGGAGGCUAGCAGUGGAGUCAUUGAGAAGAGCACUAUAUCCAUUUCCACAUUGUCUUCCGCAUCUCAGCAACGCUUUGAAUCUGUUGCACCCCACAACAGCAGCAACAACAUUUCCACAAACAGCGGUAGCAGCAGCAACAUAUCCACCACUAGCACCACAACCACCAUCACGAACCCACAAUUAAACACUCCCAGCAUUAAUAUUGUCGUCAGUGAAAAGAAGGAGCAGCAGCAGCAGCUACCACAGCAACAGCAACAACCAUUGCAAUCGCAAAGUGUCGAUUCCAACGGAUUUACCCCGGCAACCACAACAGCUGGUUCUUAUACGGAUAGCCCAAACAGUCGCAAAAGUUCCACCAGCUCAAAAGGCAAACCAACACAAGCCAAGUUAUCCACAUCGAGCAGCGGACGUGAUGAGGACAACCAAAGCAAGCUAAGUGAAGGAGGAGGAGUCAGCAGUGAGGGCAGCACCAAUACAUUUGUGCGUGGCGAUAGCCAACAGCAAGUGAUCAGCAGCUCAACCUCUAACGAUAAGCCAGCUAGCGGCAAGAGCACCUCAAGACUCUCAGAGAGAGCCAAAAAGAAAUCCUGGUAUAACGUUAUCUAUCCCAAUUACAAAUCUCGAGCCGAGGACUUUAAGAAACUCUUCAAAGAGGUGCCAAACGAUGAGCGUUUAAUUGUGGACUACUCGUGUGCCUUGCAGCGAGACAUUUUGGUACAGGGACGUUUGUAUGUGUCACAGAAUUACGUUUGCUUCCACGCCAAUAUCUUUAGUUGGGAGACCUACUUGACAAUUAAAUGGAGAGAUGUCACAGCCAUAACUAAAGAGAAAACAGCUUUGGUUAUACCCAAUGCCAUAUCGAUUGCCACAGCCAAGGAGAAAUAUUUUUUUGCCACAUUUGCGGCACGCGACAAGUCAUUUUUGAUGCUCUUUCGUGUCUGGCAGAAUACAUUGAUGAAUAAACCGUUUUCACCACAAGAGAUUUGGAAAUAUGUGCACAAUUGUUACGGUGAAGAACUUGGUUUAACCACAGAUGAUGAGGAUUAUAUAGACCCCACACUGGAUAAUGAUAAUGAAACUGAUUUAGACUUACAAUCGGCUGUUGAUGAUUAUCAGGGACAAAUACAGCUACUACCACAGCAACAGCAGCAGCAACAGAGUGGAAACAGUAGUGCCAGCAGCGCCAGUGGAGGAAGUGCAGCACUAUCAUCAUCAUCGGUGACAGCAGCUGCGCCACGCAAAUCAAAAACCAAAUACUUUUUUAACUCAUCGAAAUCUUCGAAUUUAAAUUCAUCGGCCAACGCCUCAGCCAGUGGAUCUGAUAACCAAAAGGCCGAUAAUACACGCAAAUCGAAUAAGAAAAUGAAAACCAAUGCCAAGGAGCUCACCCUGAGCUCAGUUAAGCCUGCCGAACAAACGGUGGGCGUCACAUUAUCCACUCAUUCCUCCACAUCAGCAGCUUCCUCUACAGCGGCCACAACCACGACACUCACAAAUAGCAGCAGCAACACAGCCACUGGGGCAGCAGCAGCCACUAGCCACACAGCCAGCAGUAGUGCUGAUAAAAGGAACGUGGAUAAAGUUAGCAGUAGUACAAGUGUCAGCACUAUCACUGCUCCAUCGGUGGAAUCCUCAAAUAAACGUAAAUUGAGUAAAAAUCAGAGGCAGCAACGUGAAGUGGAAUUAGCUGGUAAAAACGCUUCCGAAGCAGCACCCACUGAUGUCUCGGAUUCAUCCGAUUCUGAGGAGAACAAUGUGCCAUUCGUACCCACCACCGAAUGCACAUCCACACACGAGGGACGACAAAUUGUUCAUACUAUAUUGCCCAUCAGUGUGGAUACAUUGUUUAACCUUUUGUUCUCCAAAUCCAAAUUCAUAACGGACUUCCAUGCCAUGCGAAAGUCGACAGAUUUGAUUUUAGGUGAAUGGUCCAAGAAUGAUGAAGGUCAAAAUGUGCGUGUGGUAAAUGUAACCGUGCAAUUGGCUGCCUCUGUUGGGCCCAAAACAUCCAAGGUAACUGAAUACCAAACAAUGCGGGAAUGCAGCAAACCGGGUGAACUUUAUUCCAUAGAUGUAAAUAGUGUUAAUGCAGGCAUUCCAUAUGCGGAUAGCUUCAGUGUGCUUAUACAUUUCUGUUUGGCAAGGACUGUCGACGAUCAUACUAUGCUCUCAAUACACGCUCAAAUCAAAUAUAAGAAAUCCAUUUGGGGUGUUGUUAAGGGUUUCAUUGAGAAGAAUACUUGGGCCGGCUUGGAGGAUUUCUUUGGUUCCCAAUUGCAUGCCCUUCAGAGUGAGACUUGUAUACCACCGGCCAAGGGUAAAGGACGCCGACCCAGACGUGGCUUAAAUCAACAACAUCAACAACAACUACAAUCAGAUACCACUGCGACCACAGCAGCCAGCAACAGUACGGACAAUGACAGCAUACGAGAGCAAUAUCAACAUUCUCAUCCAUAUGCACAUCCUCACCAGCCUCCACUGCAUCAGCACCAAUCCACCAAUCAUCAGCACCAGCAUUUGCAUAUGCAUCAUCAUCACCAUCAUCAUCAUCUCCAUCGUCAAUCAUCAUCGCCGCAGCAGCAUGCACAUUGGCAACAUCGUAAGGCCAUAUUUCAGUCAAGUAAAGGUACUGCCACACAAGUACGACCCUUGGAGGAAGCAACGGGCAGCACGGCACAAAUUAAUGACACUCUGGAGUCACAAUUAUUGUCUGGUGGCGGCGUCUCUUCCACCUCGGCGUCUGCUGUGUCGGCUGCUGAUGGCUUGAUGCAUGAGGGCAAACUCCAAAAACUGGGUGGCCAUCAUCAUCACCAUCAUCUCCAUCAGCAGCAGCAGCAUUUAAGCGGAAGUUGCGCCGCAGGGGCAAUGGGAGGCGUCGCCCUGGCCAUGGGCCAAGGACAAAACGGAUUCAGACACAAGGGAUUGUCAUUGUUUGUUAUACUGUUGAUGUGCUUACUGCUGGCAUUAAAUGUGAUAUUAUUACUUAAGCUCUGGAAGCUGGAAGAACGGAUUGAUGUGGAUCUCACACGGCGGGCGCGAAUGCCCAGUUUGGCAGCCUUAAAGGAAUUGCCCAAUACAAAUCAGGAUUGGUUAGAGCUUUUGCACCAGCAGGAAAUAUCCCAUGAAAGCGAAUUACGCAAAUGGCAUCAAGUUCUGCAAACUGCCAUCGAAUUGUUGAAGAAGGUGAGCAUUGUCUGCGAAAAGAUCUACAAUGAUGGCCAGCUGCGUCAUAGCAUUGAGUCACUGUCUAAUGCAAUGCAUAGUGAAUUUUAACACACGAAUGGAAGGAUAUUUGUAUUAGCCUCGCACAGUUGCGAAAAUUGUUGGAUCUCGUAUAGAUAGAUAGAAAUGCAGUAAACAGUCAAGAGUAGUCGCAUCAAUUGUUGAAUGUGAAGACUGAAAAAACCUUGGCCGAGGUCAUGUUUCACUAAAACAGCGGCUAUGAAAUAGAACUAAUCAAUGACCGAUCCUAACCACGCCCAAAUAAGGAUAAAUAAUUUCACUAAAAGUAAUAAGCUAACAAAAAGCCACCAAAAAUUAAUAAUUGAAUUCAAAAUUCAACUAAAAUCACUUACAAAAUUUAGUCACAAAAACAAUUUCUACGUUUUAUAGAUUUUAAGUAAAAGAAAAGUUGUAAUUUUGUAUACCUAGCUGCAUUUGAUUUUAAGUUGGUAUUAUAUCUACAUAUAUAUAUAUACUUAUAUUAUUUUGCCUGAUCCACAAAGCAUUUAUGUUAACCGUAACACAAAAUUUACAAACAGCAAAAACACCCAAAAUAACAAAACAGGAG